rnacentral:misc_RNA from 1 species
CAAGGGCCAGGUAUCAUCCUUGUCCACAGAAAGUUGCUCCAAUUCUAAUAUAAAUCCUAUAAUCAGUUCUAUGGUUUCCGAGGCUACUCCCAUACUCUCUGUCAAGUGGAACAUACUAAUACAAUCCUUUUGAAAUUCCAUAGAAAAGACGGAAAGUAGAUCAUGUUUCACUAAGUGGAUGCCGGAUAGAAUUUCAACAAUGCAUUUUCUCAAAUCUUGUAAGUAG